GGAAAAGGGCCACACCUCAGACUCUGCUCUUUCAGUUCUUCCUCUCUCUCCCAGUGGAACUUUCCAGAACUCCAGAACACAGCUGCGUUCCUGCUCUUGACUGUGACCUGCUGGAUUUUUGAGGACUCAGGUUCAGUCCAGAAAAUCAUCUCAGCUGUUUAAGGAGAAAAUGCUACUCUGACAUGUGAAGCUCUGAACAGCGAGACCAUCAGAGUGGACCAGACCGGGCCUGCAGAACCAGGAUGUUUUCUUAUUCAGAGACGGACACUCUGAGCCAGAUAAUCAUCCUUCUUAUGAGAACCGAGUGGAUCUGAAGGACAGAGAGAUGAAGGACGGAGACGUGAGUCUGAUCCUGAAGAACGUGACCUUCAAUGACCGUGGAACAUACAAGCGUUUCAUUGUCCAGAGAGGAGAAAAUAUCAAGAGGUUCACCAGCUUCUCUCUCAGUGGUUCCUCCAGAGAUGGAGACGUCCACUGGGAGACGGUUGACGGUCUGCAGGUCAAUGGUGAUGCGUCACGGUGAUGUCACUUCCCCCUCCCGUCAGGAGGACGCUUCCUGUCCAUCCCGGAGCUGAAGGCGGGUAAGAAGAGCGUCCAUGGCGCUUGAUUGGUCGUCCAGGUCGUCCCACCCUGGAGCCGCAGCGACCUGUGCUUCUCCUUCUCCCAUUGGCUGAUGGGGUGUCAGGUGGGCGUGUUGCAGCUGUUCGUCAGGAGGACAGGACGAGACUGAAGGUUGACUGUAUGUCUGUUGUUUUGUUGAAUAAAAUAAAAAAAGUGUAAAAAACACGGCCUCUGGCGGUAUUUCUUUUACGUGUGUUUGUCCUUACUCUCAUUCUCAUGCGCUUGUUAACGCCAUCAGUCAGAGGUCAAGUUCAGAGUACACGUCUGUUUUUUUCUUUUCAAAAAUAAUCUUUAUUGAAUAAUGCAAUACAGUAGGAGUGUAAAACCAUACUGCAUCAUGAAUCAUACUCCCAGCACAACCCUGUCUCCACAAAAUUACGUUCUGACAAAACUAAACUGCAUUCUCAAAUACGUUUCAGAGGAACUUAUUCUGUCCCUUAUUAUGUUCGUCUUCAACAUAUCUUUU